rnacentral:misc_RNA from 1 species
AGUCGUAACAAGGUUUCCGUAGGUGAACCUGCGGAAGGAUCAUUAAAAUUGUCGAGCCGACCUCGUGUCAUGCCUCAGGCAAACCAAUGUGAACACACCCGUUGCUUCGGCGGCAUGCCCAGCGCUGUCAGCCCGUCCGAAGCCCUUCAAACUCUUCUGCUAAACUGCAGUCAGACACCGAUAAAGCAAAUCGUUAAAA